rnacentral:rRNA from 1 species
CAGCCGCCGCGGUAAUACGUAGGUGGCAAGCGUUGUCCGGAAUUAUUGGGCGUAAAGGGCUCGCAGGCGGUUUCUUAAGUCUGAUGUGAAAGCCCCCGGCUCAACCGGGGAGGGUCAUUGGAAACUGGGAAACUUGAGUGCAGAAGAGGAGAGUGGAAUUCCACGUGUAGCGGUGAAAUGCAUAGAGAUGUGGAGGAACACCAGUGGCGAAGGCGACUCUCUGGUCUGUAACUGACGCUGAGGAGCGAAAGCGUGGGGAGCAAACAGGAUUAGAUACCCGUGUAGUCCCUGUCUCUUAUAC